GCAGUUAGUCAAAAAACGCCUAUAUAAAAAUAUCCCGCGCAAAGACUUGUCUGCAACGUUAUUUCGCACAAUAAGGUAAGUAGUUCACAGUUUUUUGCUCUUUUGUGCUCGUUUUGUAGUGUAGCUUACGCUUUGAAUUUUAAACAAUGUUGGAACUUAAUAUUCGAGUCUGUAAAAGUUUACUAUACAAUACUGCUCCCCUCAGUUUAUGUGGAGAUGACUGACCUGAUUUUAUAGCGUGCAAACUGAUUAUUCAUCUCGUCAAUGAUUGAUUUCAAGUGAUAUAAUUAUAUAGCAAUUAUAUAGCUUACUGCUCUGAAGAAUAUCGUGAGGUGAAUUAUAUUAUUAGCCCAUACAUUGUACUGUAAGCGGCUAUCAAAAGUAAACAAUUAUAAUAGCCAGCAGCCUACUAUAAAAAUUUAGUUACAGAGAUAUAACCCUGGGCUCCACUUUUUAAAGCUUUCAUCUAAUGGAAAUGAUCUCUGAGAAUGUUUACAGUAGUCAUACUUAAAGGGUGGGAAACAGGUAGCGCAGGGUGUAUUAUGACGUGUCCGCCAGAUGUAGAACGCGGAACAGGUUACAGUUUCAUUUCCUGCAAACACAGAGCAGAAUGCUGUGUAAAGCUACAAACAACAGGUAAGUGUUGUAUGGUAUAUAGCUAUUACUCUUUUUUAUUACAAAUGAAUCUACCGCAGUUGGGACUCGGGAGUGUCGUCUACUCAAUUAACCUGACUUAAUAGAUUUCUAAGAAAAACUAUAUUUUCUACCUAUUGCAGCUUUAUUUAUUUAUUUAUUUAUUUAUCUACUGUCUUCAAGGUCUUAUAUUGAAUAUUUUUCAUCUCUUAACAGAUUGGCAUUUAUAUUUUAAGAACCAUGGUAUCUAUCCCUAUCCCCUAUCCAUUUUCAACUGCAGUAGUAGGCCUACCCAGAAAAAAAGGCCCCCUAAUACAAUGCAUCAUAGUACACAAGAAGUUGGAGAGAUUUCGCAAAUUAAUCCAAGGAAAGGACAUCAAUGGGCUUUACCCUUCUGAAGUCUGGGAAGAUGAUGUCACACUGUUGACAGCAGCAGUUAUAUGCAAUAACGAAGAAAUCUGCUCAUAUCUUAUUAAAGAAUCUGCUGAUCCUAACAAACUCUCAACAAAUAGACUUGCUCCUCUACACUACGCUGGUUGUACACGUGGAGUUUCACUGAGUAUCGUGAAAAGAUUACUUGCAGCAAAAGCUGACCCUGAUGGACGUGAUUUGCAGAUUUUCACUCCAUUGCAGUAUGCUGUUGAUCACAACCGUGAUGACAUUGUGAAAGCACUCCUGGAGACUGGAGCUUCAGCUUCAAGGAAUUAUGGAGGAAAUCCAGUACUUGACAAAAAAAUGGACGACAUGAUUCAUCGACUUUCCUCACAGAAUGAAGAUUUUGAGAAAGUACAGAUAUUUUUCUCAUUUUCUUGUGAUAUUUCAAAAAAACAGCAGACAGAGGUUUUCGCGAUUUAUAAGGAACAUUUCCUUAAAGAGCAUCCUUUUACUCAUACACUUCUGUUUGAGGAGUACUUUAGCUGUGUUAUCGGUGUAGAUGCAAAGAAAUAUCAGCAGAGUGCCAUCAAGUGGUUGAAAGACACAAAGAGCGCAGACAAAUACAUUGAGGACAUCAUCAAGCGCUUUCCAAGAAUUCUCAAGCAUUUUUUGUUAAUUGCAUUUAAUUGCUUAAAUGCUGUUUUGCGUGUCAGUGAAAAGAUUUCUCAUCAGGUGUUCAAUGACCUGUUGCCAGUUUUAACAAACAGUGUCCAGCCUUUUGGAAAUGCACAUGGAGACAGAGUCAAUCAAUUGAUAUUAAGAAUACUUGAUGUCAUGAUGCAAAAAAACUAUAAGCAAAAACUAAAUAUAAGUCAUUCUGUGUAUGAAAAUGUAUGCAAUGGUCUAAUGCCUCUUACAAAAGCUAAUUCAAGUCAAAUUAGUCUUGUGACCUAUGGAGUGUUUGCUCAGAUAAAUGACUUUGCUCCAGGCAUUGUUGGAAAGUGUGGAUUGUCAUCAGUACCUGAGAGCAUACUUAAUGAUGCAGAAAUAUUGAUGGAUGAAACCAUGAAGGAAAAACUUAAAAAUCUGAACACAUCACUUGGAGAUCCAUCAAGUUUCAGUGCAGUGGAUAGACUAUGUGAGGAAAACGCGGUUUCCCCUUCAAUAAGAAAACAGAAGAAGAAAAAGAAAAAUCUGAAAAAGCUGGAAUCACAAGUAGGAGAGAAGGAAGAUGAAGAGAAGCAAUCAUUUCCUGACACAAUGACAUCCAUCGAGGAGACAAAGUCAAGUGUGCAGCCCUUCACACCGCCUGUUGAGAAUCCUCCAGCAGAAAGAAGUUGGUAUUCAAUCAGUCAACGCUGGAAGGAACGUUUUCAAAAACUUUCUAUAAUUGAUGCUAACCAAACCUAUAAAAUAAAAAACCUUACUCUUGUACUCAGUGAUGAGUUUAAGAUCGCUAAAGGAAGUGAUGGAACAGAAGUUUUUCUUGGUUUGAAGGAUGACAGCACAGAGGUGGCUGUGAAACGAAUGAUUAGGUCCAAUUACCGGUUCCUCAAGAACGAGGUGGAAUGUUUACGACUUCCAGAACUUGAUGAUCCUUCUAUUGUGCGCUAUAUAGACUUUGCAGAAGAUGACAACUUUGGAUACCUUAUUCUUCAGCUUUGUGAGUACACACUUGAAGAAUACAUCCAAGAUCACUUACCAGACCAUAGCUCUGUAGUUUUGAAAAAACUUGUGAGGGAAGUGCUCUGCAGUCUACAGGUUCUACACAGCCAAUGAACUAAAGUACUUCAUCGGGACAUCAAACCCCAGAACGUUCUGAUCGACUUUACAGGGAAAGCUAAACUGGCUGAUUUUGGCAUAAGUCGUAGACUGAAACAGAGUGAAACCACUUUACAAACAAGACCCGCUGGAACUAAAUUCUGGAAGGCAAAAGAAGCAAUAGAUGAGAAGAGCAACAGAGGGUACAAAAGAAGUUCUGACAUUCAGGUUGCUGGGAUGUUAGUGUACUACAUUCUCUCCAGCGGGCAUCAUCCAUUUUGUGAAGGUCCAUAUUGUGAGGUUAACAUUCUGGAGGGAAAAUACAAACUGGAGCACCUGGAUGAUGAUGUAGCGAAAGAUCUUGUGGAGUGGAUGAUCAAUGAAGAUCCAGGAAAGAGACCAACUGUGGAGCAGACACUUGCACACCCCUUCUUCUGGAAUGAUGAAAGGAAAGUGGAGUAUUUAAAAACAAUGGGGAAUCAGAAAGAGGCAGAGAAUUGUCGUAAUGCUGAUGAGGAGCUGCUUCGUGCCAUUGAAGAAUGCACAGAGGGGAAAACCUUUUCUAAAUGGAAAACUAAAUUUCCCCCUGAGCUUAUCCAGAAACUGGAUGGUAAGAAGAAACCUUAUCCUGAGAAUACACUGGGCCUACUGCGUUUUAUACGCAACCUAUACCAGCAUUACCUACAAGACACAGCGAACAUCAAUAUAAUGACUUUAUUCCCUGAUCUCUUUGGGAGUAUGUACAUGUUUGCCAAAAAGGCAGGAUGGCACUCCAGAUUUGACUUUUCUUCUCCCAACAUUUAAUCUGUUCCUGUUAUAUGAUGAUACUGCAUACAUUGUUUCAGGAAUUGUUGUAUCUACUUGUAUUUUUCUCUUUAUGAAAGGUUAAUGCUUAAAUGCUUAAGGUUAGUUCUUAAAGAUUUUUCCUCAUCUUAGGCACAAGGAAUCUGGGGCCGGAUUCACAAAAUAUAAGAUUUUUCUUAAAAUAAAUUAUAGGAGGUUUGUAAGAAUGUUCCUUCUUAUGAAGUUUUCAAAUAUUUUCUAAAUUACAUAUGCUUUGUAAAUCAAUUUUGAGAAAUAAAUGUUAGAACUGUCUUAAGAAGUUUUUUCAGGAAUACAAAAAUAUUCCUAACUUUUUUUAUUCGAAUUUAAGAAAGAAUAUGGCAGUUAAGCGAAAUUUUCUUCUUAAGACUGUUUUGUGAAUCGAGCCCCAGGACUGUAACCAGCAUUUGAGGAUAAUUAUAGGGUGAUGGUUUUUUUUAUCCAAAGCGCGCGUCUGCCAAAUGCCUUAAUGUGAUGGCAGGUGUCAUAUUCUAAAAAAAUGCAAUAGCUUUAUGAUAGCCUAUAUCAGAAAUCUUUGUAUUGCCAUAAUAUUAAAAUAUUUUUUUUAUACAAACCAAAUACACAAAACCAUCAAAUAUGCGACCGUUUUUAAAAUAUUAAUUAUAGCUGCAGUAGUCAUGGGGACAAAUGGCACACAAAUGUUUUCUGUAAAAGACUACAUGAAUAUUUGUAUAGAAUUUGUGGUAAAAAUAAAAUAUUGUGUAUUUCUUGCAAGAUAUAUUGCCAAAUAAAAAUAUGUACAGUAUGUUAUAGCGCUGAUUGUAUUUUUUAAUGUGAUCUAAAAUGCAAAAUGAUGAUUAUGCAUUUGAAUUUAAUGGCCUUAUUUACAAUUAUUCAAUAUUUGGGGGUAGCGAAGCUAUAUUCAGGGUUUAUUGUCUUUAUUUCUAAAAUGUAUUUUC